UGGGGAAUUUUGGACAAUGGGGGCAACCCUGAUCCAGCAAUGCCGCGUGUGUGAAGAAGGCCUGCGGGUUGUAAAGCACUUUAGGUGGGGAGAAAAGGCUGUUUAUGAAUAAUGAAUGGCGAUGAUGUUACCCACAGAAUAAGCACCGGCUAACUCUGUGCCAGCAGCCGCGGUAAUACAGAGGGUGCGAGCGUUAAUCGGAAUUACUGGGCGUAAAGCGCAUGUAGGUGGGUUUGCAAGUUUGAUGUGAAAGCCCUGGGCUUAACCUGGGAAUGGCGUUGAAUACUGUGAGUCUAGAGUCGGACAGAGGGCAGUGGAAUUUCCGGUGUAGCGGUGAAAUGCGUAGAGAUCGGAAAGAACACCAGUGGCGAAGGCGGCUGCCUGGGUCCAGACUGACACUGAGGUGCGAAAGCGUGGGGAGCAAACAGG
rnacentral:rRNA from 1 species